rnacentral:rRNA from 1 species
UAGGGAAUCUUCCGCAAUGGGCGAAAGCCUGACGGAGCAACGCCGCGUGAGUGAUGAAGGUCUUCGGAUCGUAAAACUCUGUUAUUAGGGAAGAACAAAUGUGUAAGUAACUAUGCACGUCUUGACGGUACCUAAUCAGAAAGCCACGGCUAACUACGUGCCAGCAGCCGCGGUAAUACGUAGGUGGCAAGCGUUAUCCGGAAUUAUUGGGCGUAAAGCGCGCGUAGGCGGUUUUUUAAGUCUGAUGUGAAAGCCCACGGCUCAACCGUGGAGGGUAAUUGGAAACUGGAAAACUUGAGUGCAGAAGAGGAAAGUGGAAAUCAAUGUGUAGCGGUGAAAUGCGCAGAGAUAUGGAGGAACACCAGUGGCGAAGGCGACUUUCUGGUCUGUAACUGACGCUGAUGUGCGAAAGCGGGGGGAUCAAACAGG